UCAACAACUAACCCACAAAGCAGAUAACUGAAAUGGAGUCUCGCUCUGUCGCCCAGGCUGGAGUGCAGUGGCGCAAUCUCGGCUCACUACAAACUCCGCCUCCCGGGUUCAAGCCUCUCCUGCCUCAGGCUCCUGAGUAGCUGGGACUACAGGCGCCCCCCACCACGCCCGGCUAAUUUUUUUUAUUUUUAGUAGAGAUGGGGUUUCACCGUGUUAACCAGGAUGGUCUCGAUCUCCUGACUUCGUGAUCUGCCUGCCUCAGCCUCCCAAAGUGCUGGGAUUACAGGCGUGAGCCACCGCGCCUGGAUAAUUAUGGUUAUUCUUAUCAUCAUCAUUUGAAAGAACAGUUGUAAAUAAAUAGAGUAAAUAAAUUA
rnacentral:antisense_RNA from 1 species